rnacentral:tRNA from 1 species
GGGGUUGUGGCUCAGCGGUAGAGCGCUUGCCCAGCAGGUGCAAGUCCCAGGGUUCGAUCCUCAGCACCA